rnacentral:rRNA from 1 species
UACGUAGGGCGCAAGCGUUGUCCGGAAUUAUUGGGCGUAAAGAGCUCGUAGGCGGUCUGUCGCGUCGGAUGUGAAAGCCCGGGGCUUAACCCCGGGUCUGCAUUCGAUACGGGCAGACUAGAGUGUGGUAGGGGAGAUCGGAAUUCCUGGUGUAGCGGUGAAAUGCGCAGAUAUCAGGAGGAACACCGAUGGCGAAGGCAGCUCACUGGGACGGUACUGACGCUGAGACGCGAAAGCGUGGGGAGCAAACAGG